rnacentral:rRNA from 1 species
UACGGAGGGUGCGAGCGUUAAUCGGAAUAACUGGGCGUAAAGGGCACGCAGGCGGGCCGUUAAGCGAGGUGUGAAAUCCCCGGGCUUAACCUGGGAAUAGCGUUUCAGACUGGGAGUCUAGAGUGCGUUAGGGGGGGGUAGAAUUCCACGUGUAGCGGUGAAAUGCGUAGAGAUGUGGAGGAAUACCGAUGGCGAAGGCAGCCCCUUGGGA